GAUGAACGCUGGCGGCGUGCCUAAUACAUGCAAGUCGAGCGAACGGACGAGAAGCUUGCUUUUCUGAUGUUAGCGGCGGACGGGUGAGUAACACGUGGAUAACCUACCUAUAAGACUGGGAUAACUUCGGGAAACCGGAGCUAAUACCGGAUAAUAUUUUGAACCGCAUGGUUCAAAAGUGAAAGACGGUCUUGCUGUCACUUAUAGAUGGAUCCGCGCUGCAUUAGCUAGUUGGUAAGGUAACGGCUUACCAAGGCAACGAUGCAUAGCCGACCUGAGAGGGUGAUCGGCCACACUGGAACUGAGACACGGUCCAGACUCCUACGGGAGGCAGCAGUAGGGAAUCUUCCGCAAUGGGCGAGAGCCUGACGGAGCAACGCCGCGUGAGUGAUGAAGGUCUUCGGAUCGGAAAACUCUGUUAUUAGUGAAGAACAUAUGUGUAAGUAACUGUGCACAUCUUGACGGUACCUAAUCAGAAAGCCACGGCUAACUACGUG
rnacentral:rRNA from 1 species